rnacentral:rRNA from 1 species
AACUUUCAACAACGGAUCUCUUGGUUCUCGCAUCGAUGAAGAGCGCAGCGAAUUGCGAUAACUAAUGUGAAUUGCAGAUUUUCGUGAAUCAUCGAGUUCUUGAACGCACAUUGCACCCUCUGGUAUUCCGGAGGGUAUGCCUGUUUGAGCGUCAUUU